AAUAACAAAACACGCAUUUUGAUCGCUAAAAACAAUGUUAAAAGGCUACAACAUGAAUCUUUAUUCAUUAUCAUUGGCAAGGAUUAUCUCUGUCAUUGGGAAAAAAAAGAAAAAAAAGACACUCGUCUCGCGGAAGUGACGAUCGUUAAAAUUAAGUGACGUCAAAUUGUGUUUUGUUGACAUAUGUUUGUGAAAGACAAAACAGUGGAAGCCCACGAAUGAUCUCUAGCUAUUUAGCUGGCCAGCUACUGUUAGUUAGGUUGUUAGCAACCAUUAAUAUCUAUUAGUUAAAUAUAUAUUAUUGGUUAUUCCAAUAGCUCGACAAAUAACGUUGAAGUCCAGGCCAUUUGAAUUUAGAAUUCUGCGAAUGGACCGUGAAGGGAACAAUAACGUUAAUAGCAGUACAUCAAGGCAAGGAUAAACGAGUAACGUUAACUGACUGGCAAGCAAGAAAAGAAGCUGAUCGAGAGGAGGAACAGUGGAGAAUGUGAAGGACAAUGGCGAACUUUGAAGCUUACCAGGAGUACCAGCGGAUUGAUGACUUUGAGGAGGACUCACCUCCCGGGGAGGAGGACCUAUUAGUGCAUGUGCCAGAGGGCCUGAGUGACUCAUGGCACCAUAUCAAGAAUCUGGACAACUUCUUUACAAGAAUCUAUCAGUUUCAUCAGAAAAAUGGCUUUGCUUGUAUGAUGUUAUCAGAGUUCUUUGAACUUUUUCAGUUCCUGUUUGUGGUCACUUUCACAACAUUCCUCUUCAACUGUGUGGAGUAUGAUAUACUGUUUGCCAACCGGGCAGUGAACCACACAGGACCUGGCCAGAACCCCCUGGACAGGAACAAGGUCUCUCUGCCUGAUGCCAUCCUACCAAGCCAGCAGUGCACUGAGAGGAUCCAGGAGAACAGUUUGAUCAUCUUCCUGCUCAUCAUGGCGACCAUCUUCUGGGUCUACCGGAUGAUCAAGGUCUUCUGCAACAUCCUCAGCUACUGGGAGAUACGCCAGUUCUACAUCAAAGCACUGAAGAUCAGCAUGGACGAGCUGUGUAACUUCACAUGGCAGGAGGUCCAGGACCGUCUGAUCAGCCUGCAGCGGGAGCAGCAGAUGUGUAUCCACAAGAAGGAGCUAACUGAGCUGGACAUCUACCACCGCAUCCUGCGAUUCAAGAACUACAUGGUGGCCAUGGUCAAUAAGUCACUGUUACCUGUACAGCUUCAGCUCCCCCUUCUGGGAAACCUGGUGUUCCUCACCCAGGGCCUCAAGUACAACUUUGAGCUUAUUCUCUUCUGGGGUCCGGGGUCGCUGUUCCAGAACAAAUGGAACCUGCACCCCAAGUACAAGCGAGCAGGGAACCGUCUGGAGCUGGCCCAGCAGCUGAGCCGGGUCAUUCUUCUACUAGGCGUGGCCAACCUGCUCCUCUGCCCCUUCAUCCUGGUGUGGCAGGUGCUCUACGCCUUCUUCAGCUACACCGAGAUCAUCAGGAGGGAGCCAGGGAGUCUGGGAGCACGCCGCUGGUCUAUGUUCGGCCGCCUCUACCUGCGCCACUUCAAUGAGCUGGACCACGAGCUGCACGGCAGGCUAGGCCGCGGCUACAAGCCCAUCUCCAAGUACAUGAACUCGUUCACCUCGCCGCUCCUCACCGUGCUGGCCAAGAACGUGGCGUUCUUCUCGGGCUCGGUGCUGGCCGUGCUCAUCGCACUGACCGUGUAUGAUGAGGAUGUCUUGACCGUGCAGCACAUCCUGACCGCCAUCACUGUGCUGGGAGUGGUUAUCACCAUCACCAGGUCCUUCAUCCCAGACGAACACAUGGUGUGGUGCCCGGAGCAGCUGCUGCAGUGUGUGCUUGCUCACAUCCACUACAUGCCAGACCACUGGAGGGGCAACGCCAACAAGAGCGAGACCCGGGACGAGGUGGCACAGCUGUUCCAGUACAAAGCGCUGUUUAUCCUGGAGGAGCUGCUGAGCCCCAUCGUCACGCCCUUCAUUCUCAUCUUCCUCCUGAGGAACAAGUCCCUGGACAUCAUCGACUUCUUCAGGAACUUCACUGUGGAGGUAGUUGGGGUCGGAGACAUCUGCUCCUUCGCACAGAUGGACAUCCGUCGUCAUGGAAACCCUCUGUGGAUGUCUGAGGGCCAGACGGAGGCAUCUGUGUACCAGCAGGCUGAGAACGGCAAGACUGAGCUGUCUCUGAUGCACUUCACCAUCAAGAACCCCCGUUGGCAGCCCCCCCAGGAGAGCUCAGUGUUCAUCAGCCAUCUGAAGGAGAAGGUGCACCAGGACGCCCAGGGAGGACCCCCCACCCAGCUGCUGCUCUCUGAGGCCCCGCUCUGCUCCUCACUGCUCUCUAACGGGUCCGGCAAUGAACCUGACAACCUAUUGGCAAGUGUCCUGGCCCACCCUGUGCUGACCGCGUCAGGCCUACCAGGCCGCUUCGUUCCUCCCAGCACGGCUGCCUCUGCCGCCGCCAGCGUCCUGGCCUCGCUAUCCAGCUCCCACUCUCAGCUCCCCCACGCCAGCCGCUCCCGCUCGCAUGUCCAUCUGCCUUCCACCCACCCCGACAGCACCAUGUACUGCAGUGACCGCACCAUCAUCGACAGCAUGUCAGGGAGUGAUUCUCGAAUGAAGAGCACUACAUUGCUAUCAGAGUUUGCCUCGGCUGAGAUGAGUCUCCAUGCUAUUUACAUGCAUGAGGUAGGUAACCUCGAAGAGGUGGCCUCAGGGUCCUUCUUUUCAUUUACCUUUCUACACGCACACACACACCGAGUGUGUGACGUGUGUUCCACUCUGUCCUUAGGUCCACCAACAGAACUCACUCCCCCACCAGAGGACAUUCGGCCAGUGGCAGAACCCAGUGCCAAUGAGAGAGCUAAGCAGCAACGCUGGUUCUCAGACGCACAGCGUCCACACAGCAGUCAGCCUGUCUAAUAUGCCCACCCCGUUGCGUCUGGGAGGCUGGACGGAGGAAGAGGAGGGGGAUGCAGAGGAAGAGGAAAUCCUCAACAGUGGGUCGACUCCUAAACAGGACUCUAGGAGUAGCUAUUGAAGUGCCUUAAAUAAAUGGUGUUUACACUUUCCUUUCUGGAUGAACAUUGUGGCCUUAGAUGAUCUUUUUGGAGUAUAGGAUAGAUAGGACCUUUAUGACGUCACACAGCACAGGCAGCUGGGGAACUCAUUGGAUAACCACUGUCUCCAUGCCUCUACUCCUAUCACAUCAGGAGGUUUUGUCGUCAGGGAAACCAACUGUAUGUCUUCCGUCCCUCUCCAUGUCAUAUUUUGUUAUAGAAUGUAUUUACAUCGCUCAUAGAGGUGUGUGUGUGUGUGCGCUUUGGGACUCUGGGAAAGAGUGGCAUGCACAGCUAGGACACUUGCAAGGCAGGUUUGAGCAUGGUACGCAGCAAAACCUGUCACACUUUUUGUUGCAUAUUCAUGUUUUUUUUAAUAUAUAUAUAUAAGUUUGAUUUGUGCAUUUGGGAGGUUUACAAUAUGGGUCUGCGUUCACUUUCUCAUGGUGGAAAUGGUGUCUUUCCUGGUGCUGAAGAGACUAUGGAGUGAAGGUGUAUCAUACUAGCUGCCUGACCAUUUUCACUAUAUGAGGAAAGUUAAGUGCAAAAUUCUACAUUGGCAUAUUUGGCCCUUACUUAUUGCUUGACAUUUGUAAAUACACUUUAGCGUCUUACCUCUAUAUGAAUAUUUAAGUUUUGUUGUUUUUAGUCCUUGGGGCAGUUUUAAUCCUUGGGGAAGAUGGAAAAGUACUGAAAACAGUGACAUGAAGCAGGCUGCAACUAUACUACUGCUACUACAGAUAGGACCCCACUAGAAAAUAUGACAAAAGCCUACAGAUGCGCUAGAUUAAUUAACCACAAUUGUAAACAGGAUAAAAUCUCAUUAAAAGCUGCUGUCUGAUUUAAAUGGGCCUAAUAUUAUUCUCUUUCUUUAAAAUCCUGGGUGACUCUAAGACAGGAUUCAACAUAUAAUAACUUGAUUAUUUUGUAUCAAAGUAUCUUCCAUGUACAGUCUCCACUGGCAACAGGGGUGUUAUACUUGACAAAGGUACAUACAUCAAGAUUACAUAUUUGCAGAGGCAGUAACUACAUUGUUGUGGGUAGGUAUGAGAAUAAGCUAUGGAGGGUUGCAUAUUAUGUACAGUAAAUCAAGAAGUGUUGUUGUAUACAUUGAUUUUGCAUGUACUGCUCAACAUUUUGUUUACAAAACACUUUCCCCUAUGUACACACAAUUGAACUUUAUUAUUAUUUUGCAGUUACAGCAAUCAGAUCUUGAGGGUUAAACCUGUUGGUUUUCUGUUCUACCUGAUAGUUAAUUGCACUCACUUGGUGUCCACGGUCUAAAUUAGUCCCUGAUUAGAGGGUACAAUGAAAAAAUGCAGUGGAACUAACUUUGAAAUCCAGAGUUGAGAUUGAGGGUUAUAGAGGAUGAUGUGAGCUGGCCAAUCAGCGGUCUACUCACAUUAAUAUUUUUAAUGAUCGGUAUACACCCACACCAUUCUGUUGUUGGGGUAUGCCCACACCAUUCUGUUGUUGGGGUAUGCCCACAUCAUUCCAACACAGAAUAGCAUUCUUUUUAUAAAAAUAAUUUUACAUUAUUCAUUCAAAAACUGUGGAAGGAAGACAACUAUUUCACUCAUAUUGUAAUUCAUUUAAUGUCAUAUUUCAUAGAAAUCUGGUAACUGGACAGUUACUUUAAUAUAUUUCAUUUAGUAUUUAUUGUUGAAAAAUAAUCUUUCUAGUAAAUACAUUCAUACCAAAUAUGAUUGGGAUCUAAUGUUAAUAACGGAAUGUCUUAACAGAAGUCUUGAAGGCACCCAUGUAAAUCUAACUUGUUUUCCUUAAUGUCUCAUACAACAUUGAACAAAACUGAUUUUAAAAAUAUAUAUUUUUGUUGAAUUGCCUUUGACAAAACAUAUUUGGAUAUGCAACUUUGAAAUGAAACAAUCCUUCAUGUUGCUGGUUUCAUCAGUACAGUACAACUCAAAGGAGAGCCAACUUGUCUGCAUGUAAAUGCUGAAUGUAACCCAGCCAUCAUCCCUAGAAAUACGUGGCAUGAUGUAUCAUUGGUACUGUAGCCAGAACAGUUCAUUGAAACAUUACAUUAAAGCUCCAUUACUGCUACUGUAUCCAUGUCCCACUGAUACAAUAACCUACUCCACACCUAUAUGUAAUCUCUGUAUCCUCCAACAUUUGAGUCAUUUAGCAGCUGCUCUUAUCCAGAGCGACUUACAGUAGUGAGUGUAUACAUGUUUGUUUUGGUCCCCCGGUGGGAAUCAAACCCACAACCCUGGCAUUGCAAGCACCAUGCUCUACCAAAUGAACCAAACAGGACCACUAUUGUAAGACUAGAGAGUAUAUGUGUUUGAUGACUUUUUCCCUUCAUUUAGUUUUUUUCAUUUGUGUUUUGAAGUGGUGUGGAUGUAGACAUCAACCUAACUAUGCUAAGCUAACGUUGACUCAAGUUUUGCACUGAUUGAAAAUGAAAAUUAUAUUGAUAGAGACCUGCAUCAAACUAUAUUUUCGAUCAAGCCGAGGUCUCAAAGGAACAGUGAGUGGAACUCCCUUCCUGAAUGGCCUCUCUCACUAUAUAUAAUAACCAUAUGUAGGAUUGUUAUCAUCCAUACAGUGGGCCUAUCACAGACCUGGUUGUUGUUACCUCUGGUCAGCAAAAGUUCACCAAUUAGUGGGGAAUGUCUGUCAAUGUUUUAAGUAACAUUAUAGGCCUAGUCAAUGCCACAUAUGGUAUUGCUGUUGGUGUUCCAUUUGUUUUACUGAUGUAAUGAGGGGAGACGUGGUAGUUCAUGAGUCUUGCCAGUUUCCAUAGCUAGAUUGCACUGCCUCUCCCUAUCUUUUUUGAUUCGAUUAUUUAGCUUUAUUUUGAGCAGUGCCUUAGGGUUAGCUUUAGUUCAUAUUAGAAACCAUUGAAACCGUCAGAGCUCAUUUUACUUUGUAUUUUAGCAGCACAUAAUGUACAGUAUUUCUUUUGGCAGGAUUGUCAUGUUUUGGCACCAAGUAUACAGUGGGACUUGUAUUCUAAUAUUGUUGAUGAGUCCUGAGUAACAUGAACUACAACAGACUGAUAUUUGACAUCAAAGUAGUCAUCACUUUCACCUGAUGACAGAAUUAAUCUGAUCAAAGUGUUUCGUUCUGUACUGUCUGCCUCCCCAGUCCAAAAUAAUCAGUUGGGGAGGGGAAAUGUUCUAUACCCUUUUCAUUUAUGUUUAAUUAUUAUUUAAUUCCAUCCUUGAGGCUCCCCAUUCAAUAUCAUUUGCUUCUUAUCCACUACAAACCAGUCCCCCCCCCAAAAAAACAUGUUGACUGGUACAAGGUGCUACGUUUUCAUAUUCUUAGUGUUGAAUAGAUUUUGAGCCAUCUAUUCUUUGUUGCUUAGGUUUGUUCUUUUUGUUUGUUUUGUUUAAUUUAAGAAACACUAGCUGAGAAUGAACAAUGCCAAAAUAACUUGUUUUCAGCAAAGCUUUAUCAUACACAUUGUAUUUGUUUUCUGUAACUGAAUAGGCAAAGGAAUUCUUAUUGUGUGUAUUUAAUCAUUGAAGUGUGUCCCAAGAUCUAAUGUACUUGAUUUGAAAUAAAACAUGUAAUAUACA